rnacentral:rRNA from 1 species
GGAUGAACGCUAGCUACAGGCUUAACACAUGCAAGUCGAGGGGCAGCAUCAUCAAAGCUUGCUUUGAUGGAUGGCGACCGGCGCACGGGUGAGUAACACGUAUCCAACCUGCCGACAACACUGGGAUAGCCUUUCGAAAGAAAGAUUAAUACCGGAUGGCAUAGUUUUUCCGCAUGGGAUAAUUAUUAAAGAAUUUCGGUUGUCGAUGGGGAUGCGUUCCAUUAGGCAGUUGGCGGGGUAACGGCCCACCAAACCAACGAUGGAUAGGGGUUCUGAGAGGAAGGUCCCCCACAUUGGAACUGAGACACGGUCCAAACUCCUACGGGAGGCAGCAGUGAGGAAUAUUGGUCAAUGGACGAGAGUCUGAACCAGCCAAGUAGCGUGAAGGAUGACUGCCCUAUGGGUUGUAAACUUCUUUUAUACGGGAAUAAAGUGAGCCACGUGUGGCUUUUUGUAUGUACCGUAUGAAUAAGGAUCGGCUAACUCCGUGCCAGCAGCCGCGGUAAUACGGAGGAUCCGAGCGUUAUCCGGAUUUAUUGGGUUUAAAGGGAGCGUAGGCGGGUUGUUAAGUCAGUUGUGAAAGUUUGCGGCUCAACCGUAAAAUUGCAGUUGAUACUGGCGACCUUGAGUGCAACAGAGGUAGGCGGAAUUCGUGGUGUAGCGGUGAAAUGCUUAGAUAUCACGAAGAACUCCGAUUGCGAAGGCAGCUUACUGGAUUGUAACUGACGCUGAUGCUCGAAAGUGUGGGUAUCAAACAGGAUUAGAUACCCUGGUAGUCCACACAGUAAACGAUGAAUACUCGCUGUUGGCGAUAUACGGUCAGCGGCCAAGCGAAAGCAUUAAGUAUUCCACCUGGGGAGUACGCCGGCAACGGUGAAACUCAAAGGAAUUGACGGGGGCCCGCACAAGCGGAGGAACAUGUGGUUUAAUUCGAUGAUACGCGAGGAACCUUACCCGGGUUUAAAUUGCAACUGACGGAAUCGGAAACGGUUCUUUCUUCGGACAGUUGUGAAGGUGCUGCAUGGUUGUCGUCAGCUCGUGCCGUGAGGUGUCGGCUUAAGUGCCAUAACGAGCGCAACCCUUACGGGUAGUUACCAUCAGGUUAUGCUGGGGACUCUACCCGGACUGCCGUCGUAAGAUGUGAGGAAGGUGGGGAUGACGUCAAAUCAGCACGGCCCUUACGUCCGGGGCUACACACGUGUUACAAUGGGGGGUACAGAAGGCAGCUACACGGCGACGUGGUGCUAAUCCCAAAAGCCUCUCUCAGUUCGGAUUGGAGUCUGCAACCCGACUCCAUGAAGCUGGAUUCGCUAGUAAUCGCGCAUCAGCCACGGCGCGGUGAAUACGUUCCCGGGCCUUGUACACACCGCCCGUCAAGCCAUGAAAGCCGGGGGUACCUGAAGUACGUAACCGCGAGGAGCGUCCUAGGGUAAAACUGG